AAAUCUGAGUCCAGAUCUCGUUCCUCCUUUCCCCAAACCCUCGCGCUCGCGGCUCUGAUCCAGCGCUCGCUGACGGCCGCGUCGGCCUCGGCCUCCUCGGUGGCGGCGGCGCCGGGCGUGGGCCGGGUGGAGCCGGCCGUGACGCUCGACCAGGUGCCGUGGUGGAGCGACCCCGACCAGCGCCUCUCCUCCUCCUCUUCCCGCACUGCCACCGGAUUCGUCAAGACUCCCUCCCCCCCCACCGCGUCCUCUUCGGUUUCACCACCACCACCAGCACCACCACCCAGCAGAACAGCGCCUCCACCACCACCAUCGACCUCUCCUCCGACGAGAGCCGCCGUCGCCUCAUCAACAGGCUGCUUUACAGGAGCAAGCAGCGGGGGUUCUUGGAGCUGGCCUCAUACAAGCAGCGAGGACGACGGCAAGCCAGACCUCGGCGUCACCGGCACCGGCGGCGGCUGAUUACUGCUGCUGCUUCACCAUGUCCUCUCUUGCAGCAGCCUGUCUAGAUUUCUUGGCUCAUCUAAACUCUGGAUCUCUGCAUGCUGACGAGGUUAGUAGGUUGCUCAAGUAACUGAGCAUGGAGAUGAAGACCAACAAAGUAUGCUUCAGAGAAAAGCGCUGGUGUCCGGCAGCACGGCUACGCGGCAGGGACAUGCGCGUGGCAAGUGGCGAGGCAGCAGGCAGCAGGCGCGAUGCAGCAGGCGGAAGGCAAGCAGCAGCAGCAGCAUGAUUCUAUGUAUAUCUAUCCUCCCUGAUUCAUAUAUGUGAUUUAUUGCUGAAACUUCAUUACUUGAGGGGUUCCUGAGCAAGCUGAGGCCGGCCCUGCCGCAGUUCAAGCACUUCUUGUCCCUGUCCCUGCCGCAGUUCAAGCACUUCCUAUCCCUGCCACAGUUCAAACACUUCCCACGAGUGGCCAACCAGUUGAUUUGCUGAUUUGCUGUGUUGUAAAUUUUGUGUUGUAUUGGAUGUUUGUCGGGUUGUGUUGGAUGCUAAUUGGGCUGAAACCUUUGUGCUAUAUGGGUUGUUAUUAUGUUUGAUUGUUGGGCCUAUAUGGGUUGUUAUUAUGUUUGAUUGUUGGGCCUAUAUGGGCUUAGCCCACUUGUUAUUUGAUACUAAUAUAAUGAAUAUAAUAUGACGGGCUGAAAA